GACUUCUUAUACUAGUUGUGGCAAGAAGAA
rnacentral:piRNA from 1 species